UGGGGAAUAUUGGACAAUGGGCGAAAGCCUGAUCCAGCCAUGCCGCGUGUGUGAAGAAGGUCUUCGGAUUGUAAAGCACUUUAAGUUGGGAGGAAGGGCAUUAACCUAAUACGUUAGUGUUUUGACGUUACCGACAGAAUAAGCACCGGCUAACUCUGUGCCAGCAGCCGCGGUAAUACAGAGGGUGCAAGCGUUAAUCGGAAUUACUGGGCGUAAAGCGCGCGUAGGUGGUUUGUUAAGUUGGAUGUGAAAUCCCCGGGCUCAACCUGGGAACUGCAUUCAAAACUGACUGACUAGAGUAUGGUAGAGGGUGGUGGAAUUUCCUGUGUAGCGGUGAAAUGCGUAGAUAUAGGAAGGAACACCAGUGGCGAAGGCGACCACCUGGACUAAUAAUGACACUGAGGUGCGAAAGCGUGGGGAGCAAACA
rnacentral:rRNA from 1 species